rnacentral:rRNA from 1 species
CAAUAGCGUAUAUUAACGUUGUUGCAGUUAAAAAGCUCGUAGUUGGAUUUCGGAUGGGCUUGACCGGUCCGCCGUUUGGUGUGCACUGGCCGUGCCUAUCUUGCUGCCGGGGACGCGCUCCUGGCCUUAAUUGGCUGGGACGCGGAGUCGGCGAUGUUACUUUGAAAAAAUUAGAGUGUUCAAAGCAGGCCUAAGCUCUGAAUACAUUAGCAUGGAAUAACGCUAUAGGACUCUGGUCUUAUUGCGUUGGUCUUCGAGACCGGAGUAAUGAUUAAGAGGGACAGUUGGGGGCAUUCGUAUUUCAUUGUCAGAGGUGAAAUUCUUGGAUUUAUGAAAGACGAACUUCUGCGAAAGCAUUUGCCAAGGAUGUUUUCAUUAA